AUUCAGCUGACAAGUCCCAAAUAGGAUGAAAUGCACAUCCUGGAU
rfam:Schistosoma rodhaini strain Burundi genome assembly, scaffold: SROB_scaffold0000823